AUGGAAUGGAGCUGGAUUAUCCUCUUGCUAGUGGCAGCAACUACAGGUGUCCACUCCCAGGUACAGCUGCAGCAGUCUGGGGCUGAGCUGGUAAAGCCUGGAUCCUCACUGAAAUUGUCCUGCAAGACUUCAGGCUACAACUUUGCCAGCUACUAUAUUAACUGGGUGAAACAGAGGCCUGGACAGGGCCUGGAGUGGAUUGCAAAUAUUUAUCCUGGAAAUGGUGGUACUAAUUACAAUCAGAAGUUCCAGGGCAAGGCCAAACUGACUGCAGACACAUCCUCCAGCACAGCCUACAUGGAGCUCAGCAGUUUGACAUCUGAGGACUCUGCCAUCUAUUACUGUGCAAGGCACAGUGUUGCCAACCACAUCCUGAGUGUGUCAGAAACCCUGGAGGAGCAGGAAACUGGUUUUGAUUGA